rfam:Oryza barthii chromosome 8, whole genome shotgun sequence.
AAAAAGACAAACUCCGGAUUUCCGUGUCCAACGUUUGACUAUCCGUCUUAUAUGAUUUUUUUUUAUAAUUAGUAUUUUUAUUAUUGUUAGAUGAUAAAACAUGAUUAAUACUUUAUGCGUGACUUGUCUUUUUAUUUUUUUCAUAAUUUUUUCAAAUAAGACGGACGGUCAAACACUGGAUACGGAAACCCAGUGUUUGUCUUUUU